ACAUGGAAUGUUCUGGAGGACCAGGUACACACAAAACCAGGCACAUCACGUUAGGAUUAAACAUCACACCAUGGUGUUUACAAUGCACUCAUAAAGCAGAUCAGUGAGUGUUAUGCUUCACUUGAUUUGAGCUUGACCCUCACCUGUGUCGUAAUGAGAGCUGAAGCCAAAACUGGGGUUGAGGAACACUGAGGACAUGACCACCACGAUGAGCAGCGACGAUGGCAUCCUCCUCGGAAGGUUUGAUGGAGCUGGACUGCAGUACUUUACGAAUAUUAACUCUUCAGCACCGAUGCACUGAAAGGAAUUACAGCCGGCAGUGAAGGUGAAGUGAAAUGCAGCAUUUUCCUCGUCACGGUGUCACACAUCAGACUCGAGGGCUGCGAACCUAACCCCGUCCUCUGCCUUGAUCAGCGCGCUCACGGUUUUGACUGACAGCUCGCUGUUCCGGCGCAUUUCCCCGUGCUUUACAGGUUAUUUCAUGUCCCAGUGUUCUCGACGUGUGCCACUUCACCGACACGUUGCUCCUCUCUGCGUCCCUCUGCGUCCCUGCCUGCACCACUGCGUUGGCUGCUGUCCAGCGCCGGGGUGCUGAGAGCAUCAGAGCUUCCUGCACAACAUGUUCAUUUGUGCCCAGCGCUGGAAUGCAGCAUCUGAGCUAUUAACAGACUCCAGUGUUCUCCCUGCAUCAGUCAAUUAACACCGCCGCUUUAUGAUGCGUCUCCAAAUCGACUGGAUGCGGAGCAAAAUGUGGUCGAGUUGACAAGUGCGCCAUCUGCCGGCCGAACCGUGAACAGCACUGUGUGUUACAAGAAGGUGUGGACUGUCUUCGAGCAGCCUUCCUCUUCCUUUCCCAGCUGUCUUGCCAGGGUAGUAAAACUUGCUUUCGCUGUGAAGACUGUUGUUAUCGCUAUCCAUGCUGUAAAAUUGUUAUUCUCCUGAGAAAUGCUGGCAAAAAUGUAAGAUUUUUGAUAAUCUUAUAAAUAAAUCUUAUAAAAAAAGAUAAAUGUUGGCAAAAAAUUCUACUAUGUUUGUUGUUGUUGUGAACGAGCGAGUCACCAGAGGUCUGUAACUGGGGUCUGUACCGUAGGAUACGGACCCGCUCACCAGCCAAUCAGAGUGCAGGAUUUGAUGGAAACCGCACCAUGAAAAAAAAAAUACUGUUCAUUUAUUCAGGUGACAUUGGGCAUACCUAACAACCUGUGUUUUCUCCCCCCCCCAAAUCUGUCCCUCUGAGUUACAUGUCAAUCCUGAGAUUGAGAUGCUGACCUCUUCUGCUCUUCGGACCUGCCUGAUCCAUCCUGAUGCCCUAUGUCUGGCUGGAGUCUCAUCACGUUGCUCCUGUAGACGAUGGCCCCAUAUGAAAUGCAUGUAAAACAACCACAAACCCGAUCUUCAUAUUGCAGAAAAGAGCUAUUAGGAUCAUACACAAAGUGAAAGUCACACUUGGAGGACACUCUGGACACUUACAGUAAUGCUUUUAUGGCUGAGGACUACAGUUUGAACAGUUUUGCACCCAAAUUUCCAUCAAUGAAGAGUUUAUAACAUCAACGAAACUGACUUCAUGUUAAAACUGUUAAUGUUAUCGUCAUGCUGUCUGUUGUUGCCCAAAUGAGGAUGGGUUCCCUUUUGAGUCUGGUUCCUCUCGAGGUUUCUUCCUCAUGUCGUCUGAGGGAGUUUUUCCUUGCCACCGUCGCCACAGGCUUGCUCAUUGGGGAUAGAUUAGGGAUAAAAUUAGCUCAUGCUUUAA